CUGCCGGCACUGCAUUCCACCGGCACGAGCGUGUGUAGCCUAGGGUUUUGUGUCGCGUGUGUGACUGCGUGUGGACUUGAGCAGCUAAGACUGCUGUGUAUCGCCUGCUUGGUGUAGGAUUAACCUUGCUUGCUAUCAGCCUGAGAGAAAGGUGCGAGUGAGAAGUUGCCGUACAGUUGGUCGGCGCACGUAGCGGGCAGUGACGCCUGUGAGCGGCACUGUCCGCUGUUACUCCAUAUUGGCUUUACGACGACUAAUGUGUAGUUCUUGUGACUCGCUGAGAGCAGACUGAUCACCUACGGGAGCGAGAACGCCAAGGCGUGUUCAGCGGCAGGCAAGACUAGCGUUUGGACCAGCUAGCAAUCGGGGGCAUGCCCAGUGAGAACCGCCGGGGUAUCUCACAACUCGGGGACUGCGACGGCAGUCCAUUGUCCCAGCAACCCGCAACUCGCGUAUUCCUCCAGCAGUGAAGCAGCGUCCUCGCCUGGCCAGCUAGGUUAUGUCUAUGCCUAGCCUGGUUUAACACAGGUGGCCAGAGUGCAUGCGCAACCCAGUAACAGCGGACAGUCUGCGCGAACCGGGGGGACCGGCUAUGACAAGGCCUCGGAUGUCGUGACGCAUAUAUCGUUUUGAUAUUGCGUGAAUCAAGUGCUUGGAUUUUUUCUGUACACUCCGGUCGCCGCUUUUGUGCUUUCGCAUGCCACAUGCCGCAGACUGCACUGACCGCUGGCGCGCUCUAACAAUUCUUUGCGGAGGGAGCAGACCCUUGGCAGAGAGUUCAGUGAGCCAGCGGUGCAGAGGCAUGGUAGUGGCCGCGGCUUGGGACGCUUUUAGGUGGCUGUCGCAACGAAUGGCAGACGGAGGACAGCCUGGGCGCGCUCAGCGUCGAUGCGGUGGCAGCAUCAGUACAGUACCAGGGGCGGUGCAGCUUGGAGAUGCAGAAGCCGCGGGCGGCCAGGCAGACGCAGCACCAACGGCACUGACCCAGGGCGCAGCGGCACCGGCAGACAGUGCCACAGCUGCAGCAAGCGGCGUCACGCCUGUGAUUGUGGCGCAGGCUGCUCUAGCUGCGACCUCUGGUGCAGCGCAGGCUACAGCAGGGGCCACGGGUGCAGCCUCAUGCGCAGCGCCAGGCUUGAUGCUGCCCUCCAGGUCCAACGUUGUGGAGCGGGCCAGGCUCGCCGUCAACGCAGCGUUUGCCAUCGACGGGCUGCAGGACAAGGAGGAUGAAGGCUGUGUCCCCACGCCAGGCCCAGGCAGCAUGGGCAUCGCCGGUAGCGACUCAGGGGUGUCGGAAUCAACGUAUGAGGAGUAUGAGGGGUAUGAGAAGUCGAUGGUUUCGACUGUCAGCCAGGUGGGCGAGUCAGAGGUGAUGCGCCAGUUACGCACCAGCGCAGAGAUGCGAGGUGCAUGGGGCGUUGACCGGGCUGACCGACGGCUGCGCGCGGGCAGCCUUGUGGCGCGGCCGUUGGCGGUGGAGGGCAUGCCUGUUACCGCCCCCAGCGCCGCGAGCCGCGGCCACAGCUCGGCCAUCGGAGCCCUCCGCCUGCAGCAGCGAUUUAACCGGAAGCGGCGCCGUCACAAGCAGCUGUCGGAGCGAGCGGCGGACCCUUUGCGAGGUUGUGGCGUCCAGCGGCUGCCCCAGCGGGGAGACAGCAACCCGGCGACGUGCGCAGGCCUGCCACCCACAGCGGGUUUACCUCAGGCUGGCGGAUCCAGGCGGCACGCCACGCCACGCCGCGUGACUGGGAAGCGCUCAUGGGGCACGUGCCGGGCGCAUCCUCCGGCCUACCGCCCAGCGCAGCGCUAGCCGCACUGCGCUCAGCCCCGCCGCCGCUGACCCUCAGCGCCGUCCUAGUAGCCGCCGUCGUCCUGCAGCACCACUACCUCGCGCCUAAUGAAUGACACACACACGCCGCCGCCUCAAGUGCUGGCACCUGCAGACGCAGGACCGGUACUGCCGCUGGGGGGGGAGUGACGACGCAGAGGAGCUGGCGCGAAUGCUGAUACAGCGGCAGCCCGGCAGCGACCUGCUGGUAUUUGCCACCAUGGUGGCGGCGCAGACUGACGCGACGGAGGCCGCGCUAGCGGCCGCCAACAGGCGGCAGCCUGACGUGUGGCUAGACGCAGAGGUGAUGGCGCUGAUUCAAGGGCUGGCGGGGCAAGCCGCAGCCUCCCGCCGCGCGGUGCGGCGGGCCAGCUCAUACAGGUGGGACGGGCAGCAACUGCUGCGGUGCCUGCCGGACGGGCGCGCCAGAGUCUGCCCACCGCCUGCAGAGCGAUUAGGAAUAGCGGAGCGCCUGCAUCUCUCGCUUGGCCACCUCGGUGUCCGGCGCACGCGGGCCCUGCUUCAGCUGGGGUACUGGUGGUUCGACAUGGGAGCCACAGCAGCUCACGUGGUGCGCAACUGCCGGGCAUGCGACCUCAGCCGCGUGACGGGAGACGCGAGGCCAGCGGAGCUGCAGCCGCUGCCGGUCAGGGGGCUCUUCUACCGCUGGGGCGUAGACCUGGCCGGGGAGCUCACGCCCACCGAGCCCGACGGCUACCGCUACUGCGUCAUCGCCAUCGAGCAUUUCAGUAAGCAUAUCGAGGUGGUGCCAAUCGUGGACAAGACCGCAGACCGCGUAGCGCGGGUGUUUGCGGACAUCAUGGCGCGCUUUGGGGCGCCAGCAGAGGUGGUGACAGACAACGGAUCGGAGUUUGAGGGCGAGUUUGCAGCGCUGCUAGAGCGCUGCUACGUGGAUCACCGACACGCCUCACCCGGGCACCCACAAGCAGAUGGCGCUGCAGAGCGCAUCGUGCGAGUGGUGAAGGACGCGCUGCGCAAGGCGUGCUACGAGUCCGCCGACCCAGCCCGCUGGGACCGGGCGCUGCCGCAUCUACUGCUCGGCUACCGGUGCUCGCCGCAGGCGGCCACGCAGUACUCGCCGUUCAGGCUGCUGCACGGAGGAGUGGAGCCCCAGGUGCCGGCAGCUGUCAGGGAGGGGUUCGCGGAGCCCCUGAGCUUUGAGGACGCAGCGGCAGCGACGGAGAGCCUGCGGGCAAGGGCGGCCUGGGUGCAGCGUCACUACCCGGAGGCCGCCGGCAACCUGCUGGUGGCUCAGCAUCGCGAUACGCGGCGCUAUGCGGCCGCGCGCGCGGCGCGCCGCCUGACAAACACGCCAGAAUUCAGCGCUGGCGACUACGUUUACAUCAAGAAGCUGAAGGUGGACAACACCCUGCAAUUCCAGUAUUACGACACAAUACUCAGGGUGAAGAGCGUGGGGCCGCUGGGUGUAGCGGUGCUCAUAGGACGGGACGGGACGCAGCAGCUGCGUCGGAGGGUGGAGCAGCUGGCGCCCUGCCACCUGGACGUGGACCCGGCGAUUGAGCCGCAGCUGUUUCGCCCCGGCAAGGACCUGGCCUGCGAAGCGUGCAGCUCGCCGGGGCAGCCGGCCAGGAUGCUGCUCUGCGACGGCUGCAACCAGGGGUGGCACACGCACUGCCUGCGGCCGCCGCUGCGGGAGGUGCCCACAGGCGCCUGGCUAUGUCCGAGGUGCCUGGCGCACUUAUCGCAGCAGCCACCGACAGAGGAGGCGACGCGCGAGUGGCCCGAGCAGCUAGGCCAGUUGCUGUUCCCCAAGGCCAGCACGCGCAGGUUGGAUGAUGAGGCCCGGCAGAUGGACGGCACGGUGGUGACUAGGCGGGUGCGGACGGGCAGGGGCAAGGGCGCGGGGGAGACGGAGCAGAAGGCCCUGCUGCAGUUCCGUGGCGCACUCUACCGGCCGCACUACUUUGCCGUGAAGUGGCCAGGCGAGGUGGAGAUGGAGUACUGGACUCUGGAGCAUGUGCGGCGCGGGCGGGCGCGCGCAUAAGGAGAGUGGAAGGACCAGCUGGGGGGACGAGGGCGUAGCUAGCGUUGGAUAGUUGCGCAGGUAUUCGGGAUGGAGGGCCCAGCUGGGGGGACGAAGCGGUAUGAAGGAUGGUAUUGUGGAUUCGGAUGACGGUGGGAGGAGCGAUCAUUCGCUAUUUGGCUUGGGUUGAGAUGUCUAAGGAUGACGUGUGUUGCGUAUUUGUGGCCUCUCUGAAGAGGACCGAACGUGGACUGACAAUUUGGACGUAUUGACCAUGCGUGCUUGCCUGUCCCUGCGUGAGCCAACCUCGGUUGCCAUGCUUGGCCUCUCUCGGUUGUGGGGGGAAAUGGCGGGACAGGUGGCGGAGACAUUCAUAACCGGCAGAAUGACACGACAGCUGUCGCGCCAUUCUGCCGGCACUGCAUUCCACCGGCACGAGCGUGUGUAGCCUAGGGUUUUGUGUCGCGUGUGUGACUGCGUGUGGACUUGAGCAGCUAAGACUGCUGUGUAUCGCCUGCUUGGUGUAGGAUUAACCUUGCUUGCUAUCAGCCUGAGAGAAAGGUGCGAGUGAGAAGUUGCCGUACAGUUGGUCGGCGCACGUAGCGGGCAGUGACGCCUGUGAGCGGCACUGUCCGCUGUUACUCCAUAUUGGCUUUACGACGACUAAUGUGUAGUUCUUGUGACUCG
rnacentral:lncRNA from 1 species